CUAUUAUUAUGCAAAUUAGGAGUACUGUUGGUUUAUAUCGUGGCUUCAAGGUGAGUAUUUUUCCUAAAAGAAGUACAGAAGAUAAUUUAGGGAAGGGGCAAGGGGACAUUUUAUUGUUGGCUAAUAGACUGCAGAGAACUGUUACACAGCUGUUUAACUGAGACGUUGCUUUGAAAUCUCCAUUAUUUUACUGUGUUUUUAAAAUUUUUUCCAGGAGAUUCUAAUAAAAAUGGAAGAAGAACCAAGUUCUGCUUUGGACUCUGAAGAGACUUUUAAUUCUUGUAGGUUUUACAGACCAAUGUUACAUGUUUCCUGUCAAGUUACAUGUGAGAGAACACUGCCAGAUGUGAAGGAAGAGAGAGAGUGUCCUGUGUGUGCUGCAGUGGAUGUUUAACUUAGGGAAUGGAGCACACAUGGCCACAUGGUGGAAGGACUAUGGUUUCUCCAUCCUCACCUCCUCUUCCCAAGGGCAACUGACCUUCUCCUCUCCAAAACAGCAGUAUGCAACUUGACCUUAAAAGCCUGCUUACCUUAACAAGAUGGCAAUGAAUCCAGCCACCAGCUGUGCCUCCCUGUACUCCACAGUUCUUGGUACCUGUGAAUGGAUCUUGAUUUUGGAAGACUGAAGGAGUCCUUCAUAUUCCCGUGGUAUCCAGAAUUAUUGGUGUUUUCAGGCCAUAGCACUGCAAGAUCUCUCAUGAAUUUCUGUUGGACUCAAAAUACUUUUGAAUUCUGUGUUUUUGUUCUGAUUGUUCCUAGACCUACAGGUAUUCAUGCAUUUCUGAGAUGUGUUCCUCUGAUGUGCAUAUGUGCCCAUUGCCUAUCCUGUCUCAGAUUAUUGCCAAAAACUAGAUGAAAACAAAACUUCAGCAGUAUGAGAUUUGAGUGUACAUGAAACUGUUUAGAAGUAGAACAUAUUUAACGUGCUAUAAGUUACACAAAUGAAGUAAGAUGGUUUAAAAAGAAAACAAGCCAAGAUUUCAGUGACUAUUUUUUUGACCUUAGAGUGACUAAAGUUUUCUUAACAAUGGAAAAAGCAACAAGAGAAAAUAAAGUUACAACUAAAUUAUACAUGAA